CGUAAGUAAUCUACCCCGAACUCUGGGAUAACGCUCCGAAAGGAGGGCUAAUACCGGAUAGGGUCCCCGAGGUACAGGCUGCGGGGGGAAAACGGGCCUCUGUUUCAUGCUCGUGGUUCGGGAUGAGCUUGCGGCCCAUUAGCUUGUUGGCAGGGUAAUGGCCUACCAAGGCUACGAUGGGUAGCUGGUCUGAGAGGAUGAUCAGCCACACUGGCACUGAGACACGGGCCAGACUCCUACGGGAGGCAGCAGUGGGGAAUUUUGCGCAAUGGGCGAAAGCCUGACGCAGUAACGCCGCGUGGAGGAUGAAGGCCUUCGGGUUGUAAACUCCUGUCAGGGGGAACGACGGAGCGAGGGUGAUAAAUCCUUGCUUCCAGACGGUACCUCCAAAGGAAGCCCCGGCUAAUUCCGUGCCAGCAGCCGCGGUAAUACGGAAGGGGCAAGCGUUGUUCGGAAUCAUUGGGCGUAAAGGGCGCGCAGGUGGUUCUGUAUGUCUACCGUGAAAGCGUACGGCUCAACCGUAUUUUGUCGGUAGAAACUGCAGGACUUGAGGCUGGGAGGGGCUGGUGGAAUUCCCUGUGUAGCGGUGAAAUGCGUAGAGAUGGGGGAGAACACUCGUGGCGAAGGCGGCCAGCUAGACCAGUUCUGACACUGAGGCGCGACAGCGUGGGGAGCAAACAGGAUUAGAUACCCUGGUAGUCCACGCUGUAAACGAUGGGCACUAGUGCCGGCGGUCUUGAUCCCGUCGGUGCCGGCGCUAACGCAGUAGUGCCCCGCCUGGGGAGU
rnacentral:rRNA from 1 species